GAUGAACGCUGGCGGCGUGCCUAAUACAUGCAAGUCGAGCGAACAGACGAGGAGCUUGCUCCUCUGACGUUAGCGGCGGACGGGUGAGUAACACGUGGAUAACCUACCUAUAAGACUGGGAUAACUACGGGAAACCGGAGCUAAUACCGGAUAAUAUAUUGAACCGCAUGGUUCAAUAGUGAAAGACGGUUUUGCUGUCACUUAUAGAUGGAUCCGCGCCGCAUUAGCUAGUUGGUAAGGUAACGGCUUACCAAGGCAACGAUGCGUAGCCGACCUGAGAGGGUGAUCGGCCACACUGGAACUGAGACACGGUCCAGACUCCUACGGGAGGCAGCAGUAGGGAAUCUUCCGCAAUGGGCGAAAGCCUGACAGAGCAACGCCGCGUGAGUGAUGAAGGUCUUCGGAUCGUAAAACUCUGUUAUUAGGGAAGAACAAAUGUGUAAGUAACUAUGCACGUCUUGACGGUACCUAAUCAGAAAGCCACGGCUAACUACGUG
rnacentral:rRNA from 1 species